AUGAACGCUGGCGGCGUGCUUAAUACAUGCAAGUCGAACGAAGAGCCUUUGUAGCAAUACGGAGGUUUCUUAGUGGCGAACGGGUGCGUAACGCGUUGGUGACCUGCCCCGAAGUGUGGGAUAACAGUCCGAAAGGACUGCUAAUACCGCAUGUGGUCAUUGGGUUUAGAAGCCGAUGACUAAAGCAGUAAUGCGCUUUGGGAGGGACCUGCGUCCCAUCAGCUUGUUGGUGAGGUAACGGCCCACCAAGGCUACGACGGGUAGGAGACCUGAGAGGGUGGUCUCCCACACUGGCACUGAAACACGGGCCAGACACCUACGGGUGGCAGCAGUAGGGAAUAUUGGGCAAUGGGCGAAAGCCUGACCCAGCAACGCCGCGUGCACGAUGAAGGUCUUCGGAUCGUAAAGUGCUUUUCUGAGAGAUGAGAAAGGACAGUAUCUCAGGAAUAAGUCUCGGCUAACUACGU
rnacentral:rRNA from 1 species